rnacentral:rRNA from 1 species
GCAUGCCUACAACAUAGUGUUAAUGCACCAAAUCCCAUUAGAACUACGUAGUUAAGCGCGCUCGGGCUAGAGUAGUACUGGGAUGGGUGACCGCCCAGGAAUUCCUAGUGUUUUACAUGCC